rnacentral:rRNA from 1 species
GGAGGGGGGGCAAGCGUUGUUCAGAAUUGCUGGGCGUAAAGGGCGCGUAGGCGGCCUGCCAAGUCAGGGGGUGAAAGGGCCCGGGCUCAACCCGGGAACUGCCCUUGAAACUGGCAAGCUAGAGUCCGAGAGAGGAUGGCGGAAUUCCCAGUGUAGAGGUGAAAUUCGUAGAUAUUGGGAAGAACACCGGUGGCGAAGGCGGCCAUCUGGCUCGGUACUGACGCUGAGGCGCGAAAGCGUGGGGAGCAAACAGGAUUAGAUACCCUGGUAGUCCACGCCGUAAACGAUGUGUGCUAGACGUUGGAGGUCUUAGGCCUCCGGUGUCGCAGCUAACGCGUUAAGCACACCGCCUGGGGAGUACGGCCGCAAGGUUA